CCCGCAGGUGAGCUAGCAUGACUUUAACUUAAGCUAACGUUGCCUUGGUAACUACAAUUGAGCUAACGAUUAAUUAGCUUAACUUACAGCUAGUGAGUUAGCAUGUGCGCAUUAAGUUAGCUGUUCAUGUUUUGACAUUUUAGAAGCUAACAGUUCGGCCUUUAACGUUAUGGCCCCAACAAAAACAUUUAAACUGAUAUAGCGAAACUCGUUUGUCCACGGAAAAGACGUGUAAGUUGUAAAUGUAACGGAUAACGGCUCAACAGUGGUAACAUUAGCAAGCUAACGUUAGCUUGUUAGCAGGCUAGCUAAACGUUAGCAGAUUCCGGGAGCCGGAAGCUGAGGAGACAGGUGGAGCUGCGGACUAUCAGAUGCAGAAGGCCAGGUACCAGUAGCAGGGCAGAGACAAGAGCACAGAGGCAACAGGGUUUUCAGGAAUGUGGGCUUUUCUUAUGGGCAUGCAUCUCCAUCCCCUGCCUUGACUGUUGGCAAGUUAGCCAUACAGAAAGAGACAACCUACUGUCUCUGGCUCUGUCCGGCCCUCCUGUCACAGCAAAGUGACUGAGUUUUCCCCAGACAGGCCCAGGGUAAUUGGAACACUGGACUGAG